rnacentral:rRNA from 1 species
UACGGGGGGGGCAAGCGUUGUUCGGAAUUACUGGGCGUAAAGGGCGCGUAGGCGGCCUGUUAAGUCGAACGUGAAAUCCCCGGGCUCAACCCGGGAACUGCGUCCGAUACUGGCAGGCUUGAAUCCGGGAGAGGGAUGCGGAAUUCCAGGUGUAGCGGUGAAAUGCGUAGAUAUCUGGAGGAACACCGGUGGCGGAAGGCGGCAUCCUGGACCGGCAUUGACGCUGAGGCGCGAAAGCCAGGGGAGCAAACGGGG